UUAAGUUAAUAAGGGCGCACGGUGGAUGCCUUGGCACUAGAAGCCGAAGAAGGACGUGACAAACGACGAAAUGCUUUGGGGAGCUGUAAGUAAGCGACGAUCCAGAGAUGUCCGAAUGGGGGAACCCACUAGCUGAUGGCUAGUACUCCUAUCUGUUAAGGAUAGGUAGAGGAAGACGCAGUGAACUGAAACAUCUAAGUAGCUGCAGGAAGAGAAAGCAAAAGCGAUUGCCUGAGUAGCGGCGAGCGAAACGGCAGGAGGGCAAACCGAAGAGUUUACUCUUCGGGGUUGUAGGACUGCAAUGUGGACUUAAAGACUAUAGAAGAAUGACAUGGGAAGGUCAGCCAAAGAGAGUAAGAGCCUCGUAUUUGAAAUAGUCUUUAUACCUAGCAGUAUCCUGAGUACGGCGGGACACGAGAAAUCCCGUCGGAAUCUGGGAGGACCAUCUCCCAACCCUAAAUACUCUCUAGUGACCGAUAGUGAACCAGUACCGUGAGGGAAAGGUGAAAAGCACCCCGGGAGGGGAGUGAAAUAGAACCUGAAACCGUGUGCCUACAACAAGUUCGAGCCCGUUAAUGGGUGAGAGCGUGCCUUUUGUAGAAUGAACCGGCGAGUUACGAUAUGAUGCGAGGUUAAGUUGAAGAGACGGAGCCGCAGGGAAACCGAGUCUGAAUAGGGCGCUUUAGUAUUAUGUCGUAGACCCGAAACCAUGUGACCUACCCAUGAGCAGGUUGAAGGUGAGGUAAAACUCACUGGAGGACCGAACCAGGGCACGUUGAAAAGUGCUUGGAUGACUUGUGGGUAGCGGAGAAAUUCCAAACGAACUUGGAGAUAGCUGGUUCUCUCCGAAAUAGCUUUAGGGCUAGCGUCGACAUUAAGAUUCUUGGAGGUAGAGCACUGUUUGGGUGAGGGGUCCAUCCCGGAUUACCAAUCUCAGAUAAACUCCGAAUGCCAAUGAAUUAUGGUCGGCAGUCAGACUGCGAGUGCUAAGAUCCGUAGUCGAAAGGGAAACAGCCCAGACCACCAGCUAAGGUCCCAAAAUAAUUGUUAAGUGGAAAAGGAUGUGGGGUUGCACAGACAACUAGGAUGUUAGCUUAGAAGCAGCUAUUCAUUCAAAGAGUGCGUAAUAGCUCACUAGUCGAGUGACCCUGCGCCGAAAAUGUACCGGGGCUAAAACAAUUUACCGAAGCUGUGGAUACCUUUAUAGGUAUGGUAGGAGAGCGUUCUAUGUGUGGAGAAGGUGUACCGUGAGGAGCGCUGGAACGCAUAGAAGUGAGAAUGCCGGUAUGAGUAGCGAAAGACAGGUGAGAAUCCUGUCCACCGUAAGACUAAGGUUUCCAGGGGAAGGCUCGUCCGCCCUGGGUUAGUCGGGACCUAAGGAGAGACCGAAAGGUGUAUCCGAUGGACAACAGGUUGAUAUUCCUGUACUAGAGUAUGUAGUGAAGGAGGGACGCAGUAGGCUAACUAAAGCGUGCGACUGGAAGUGCACGUCUAAGCAGUGAGGUGUGAAUUGAGUUAAAUGCUUAAUUCUGUAACAUUGAGCUGUGAUGGGGAGCGAAGUUUAGUAGCGAAGUUAGUGACGUCACACUGCCAAGAAAAGCUUCUAGCGUUAAUCAUACUCUACCCGUACCGCAAACCGACACAGGUAGUCGAGGCGAGUAGCCUCAGGUGAGCGAGAGAACUCUCGUUAAGGAACUCGGCAAAAUGACCCCGUAACUUCGGGAGAAGGGGUGCUGGCUUUCAGUCAGCCGCAGUGAAUAGGCCCAAGCAACUGUUUAUCAAAAACACAGCUCUCUGCUAAAUCGUAAGAUGAUGUAUAGGGGGUGACGCCUGCCCGGUGCUGGAAGGUUAAGAGGAGUGCUUAGCGUAAGCGAAGGUAUGAAUUGAAGCCCCAGUAAACGGCGGCCGUAACUAUAACGGUCCUAAGGUAGCGAAAUUCCUUGUCGGGUAAGUUCCGACCCGCACGAAAGGCGUAAUGAUUUGGGCACUGUCUCAACGAGAGACUCGGUGAAAUUUUAGUACCUGUGAAGAUGCAGGUUACCCGCGACAGGACGGAAAGACCCCAUGGAGCUUUACUGCAGUUUGAUAUUGAGUGUCUGUGCCACAUGUACAGGAUAGGUAGGAGCCAU
rnacentral:rRNA from 1 species